CAAAUACCAAGACAUCAAGUUAGGAUGCAGGUUCAAAAAUUUCCAAAAUGUGAAUAGAAAAUGGAGGUGGGUGCCGCAGCAAGGACGACGGCUUCGACAUCGUUCACGACAACGACGUUAGCAUCUGUGCAUGGUGGCUUCAAAGAAGAUGAUCUAGUGUUGCAUUAGCCGUGUCACACUUAGAAGCUUUCUUGGAAGAACAGGUU